ensembl:snoRNA
UGGGUGUGCUCAGAGCAGGGGGCCUGCAGAAAUGGCUCCGCUGUUUAUAACACACCCAACAGCAAUCUGGGUUCAUUAUGACAAGGGGCACAAAAUGUGUGGCCUUCCUAUGAACAGAUACCCUACACGU